GCAGUCGAACGAGGUAGCAAUACCUAGUGGCGCACGGGUGAGUAACGCGUGGAUAAUCUGCCCUUCACUGGGGAAUAACUAAUCGAAAGGUUAGCUAAUACCGCAUGAGGCCACAGUUUCUGAGGAAGCAGUGGUUAAAGAUUUAUUGGUGAAGGAUGAGUCUGCGUGGGAUUAGCUAGUUGGUGAGGUAAUGGCUCACCAAGGCUACGAUCUCUAACAGGUCUGAGAGGAUGACCUGUCACACUGGAACUGAGACACGGUCCAGACUCCUACGGGAGGCAGCAGUAGGGAAUAUUGCGCAAUGGACGAAAGUCUGACGCAGCGACGCCGCGUGAGUGAUGAAGGCCUUAGGGUCGUAAAGCUCUGUUGCAGGGGAAGAAAAAAAUGACGGUACCCUGCGAGAAAGGAUCGGCUAACUUCGUGCCAGCAGCCGCGGUAAGACGAGGGAUCCUAGCGUUGUUCGGAAUCAUUGGGCGUAAAGCGCAUGUAGGCUGCCAUUCAAGUCAGUUGUGAAAGCCCCGGGCUCAACCCGGGAAGUGCUUCUGAUACUGUUUGGCUUGAGUACUAGAGAGGAUAGUAGAAUUCCAGGUGUAGUGGUGAAAUACGUAGAUAUCUGGAGGAAUACCGGUG
rnacentral:rRNA from 1 species